rnacentral:rRNA from 1 species
AUGACCUGGGCUGCGGACAUCAUCUCGCUGCCCGACGAUGUCGCGGUCGGGAGCCUCACCGGUUUCCUCUUCCUUGGCUUCCAUCUGCUGUGUCCCGAGGAGAGCUCCAGGUCGUUCGGCGUGGUCUGCGUCGGCGCCGACGUGUCUAGGGUUCGCGCCGCCGUCUUCUCGUCGGCGACGAGGGAUUGGGUCGUCCACCCGUGGGUGGAAAUCGGCGGUGAGUACGGCCUAAAUUACGGUGCUGGGGCGCUGGUGAAUGGCUCUGUUUACUGCCCUUUCUAUGAGGACAGCCGUGUGAUUAGGAUAAACACAGCCACCAUGGAUGUCUCCUCUCUGGACCUGCCCUCAUUACCCUCAUGGAUAAUUGAUUACGGGCAGGUCGAUUUCAUCGUUGGGGACACUAAGGAUGGAGAGCUCUGCAUGCUAUAUGCAUCUGAUGAUUUUCACCUCCAUGUUUGGAUCCGUGGUGUGGACGGUGAUGGAAUUGGGGUUUCGGUGCCGCUGCUCAUACCCUCUUUGAGCGCACAGAUUGAGCGGACGACCGGGGAAUCGGAGGGCAAACUCAGAGUUGUGCAAGCUAGGUCUGGAUGCGUGUACCUGUGCAUGAUAUGCAUAACCCCUGCUGACACACAACACAGCUGGUUAUUCUACCAUUCAUUGGGUACCAAGGAGAUUGAGUUAAUGAUCAAUGGGACAUUUGAUUACUGUGCCUAUCCGUAUAUUAUGGCCUGGCCUCCGUGUUUGAUUUGUGAUGAUGAGGGCACUGCGCAUGAAGUUGAAGGUUCUCACUGA